rnacentral:rRNA from 1 species
GGACCCGCACAAGUAGUGGAGCAUGUGGUUUAAUUCGAAGAUACGCGCAGAACCUUACCAACACUUGACAUGUUCGUCGCGACUUUAAGAGAUUAAAGUUUUCGGUUCGGCCGGACGAAACACAGGUGCUGCAUGGCUGUCGUCAGCUCGUGUCGUGAGAUGUUGGGUUAAGUCCCGCAACGAGCGCAACCCUCACUUUUAGUUGCCAUCAUUAAGUUGGGCACUCUGAAAGAACUGCCAGUGAUAAGCUGGAGGAAGGUGGGGAUGACGUCAAGUCCUCAUGGCCCUUACGUGUUGGGCUACACACGUGCUACAAUGGUAUUUACAACAGGAAGCGAAACAGCGAUGUUAAGCAAAUCCUUAAAAAAUACCUCAGUUCGGAUUGCACUCUGCAACUCGAGUGCAUGAAGCUGGAAUUACUAGUAAUCGUGGAUC